rnacentral:lncRNA from 1 species
GAUAUGAUUGGAUCCUUAAUUUUAUUUCAUUUAGAGAAAAAUAUAAAAAUAAUAUAUUCGGAUUCCGAAGAAAAUUGUAUCCCUCAAGUUCUUUUGAACAAUGAAUUGAAAAAAAGAAUUUUAAUGAUGAAUACAGCCAUAGAUCUAAGGCAGGCGAUCAGGAUCUUCAACACGAUUAAUAUAAUUUCUUUUCUUGGUUACUCGCUUAGAAUUAAUCAUACUGAUCCAAGAACAGCACCUGAACGUCCCUCGUAUGAUGUAGAGAAUCAUGACAAGUUAUCUUAAUUCUUUGGUAAUUUAUAAUAUCUUUUAAUAUUUAUUAUGAUUUCGCUAAAAUAAUUAUUUAACUUCAAAAUAGCCGCUUAAAACCGUUCGAACUUGAUUGGGCGCAGUACACAAGCCUCCGAUCGCGCGAUCGUCAAAUGUCCUGGAAAGACGAGACGGAACGACGGUUAGCAGUGACGCUCUCCAAUUAAUAUGCGGUGUCAUGCAAAAACUUGAGUGCGGAGAGGAUAUUUGCGCCAGCGAGGUCUAAGCCUAUGAAGAGUAACGAGGGAACUUGGGAAGCGGCUCCGGAUCGCAGUGAAUACAGAGGAAAAUCAUCAACUACUCAGAGAAGUCGAUACCGAAGCUUUGGUGGAUUUGUGAAAGUGAUAGUGUGUGGUGUGGUGUGAUGUGCAAAGACUCGAGUACUGAGACUGAAGUGUUGACGUGAGACUCAAGUGUUGAAAAGACAUUCAUAAAAGGACCUAGAAAGCAGAUAUUAAGAAGAGAGAACCUGAUGGGGAGUAGCUCCAGAAUGCAGUGAAUCCAGAAGAAGAAACUCAACUUCGGCAGAGUCUGUGAGUCGCAUGCUUUGAUUUUGCUGUCUAACUUUCCUCAAUCUUCUCUAUCGCGUGGCAUGGUGGUACCAAUGUUUGUCAUUGUAUAACUUGAUGUAUCGAUUUGAAUUCUCAGAAUAAUCUAUCAAUUCAUUUGAAACUAUAAGUUCAAUAUGUUUGAGCUUCUUUUGCUUGUCUUAAAUCAUUGAUUGUGAGUAAAAACGUUGAUCCAGUUAACAUAUUAUUGUAUUAUACACAGCAUAGCUUUUUCAUGAAAAUCAUUCUCAAAGUUAAAUCAAAACCUGAAACUUUGGAUAGGAUGUAUUAACCCGUUCUUCCCCUACAGCGAAACUCAACAAAGUAAGUUCCGAACCACGUUGUAUGAUUGAUGAGUAUAGAGUGAUUGUGUUGGUGAGAAUGCAAGUCGAAUUAAAUAUAGGUGGAUUAGGUAGGAGUGGGUAGGCCGGUUGUUGUAUGUGGGCUGAGCUGUAUGUUUAUCAUUAAUGAUAAAAACCCAGUGUUGAGACUGAUUUGGGAACAUCAAGCUCAACUUUGUGGUUCGAUCGAUCGUUCGUUAUUUUGGGAGUACAUUAAAAUGAGGGUAGGAAGG